CAAAAUAUUACAGUACAAUACCUUCAACUUUUCUUUCAUUUUUAAUUUUGUCCUACAAGUAUUAUCAAACUUGCACCACCUCUAUUAAUAGUAAAUCAUGUGAAUUAAUAGUUCAAUCAUGUGACUUAAUAGUUAUAAUCAUGUGAAAAUACGAAUUACAGUAUAAUACCUCCAUCUAUACCUCCAUUUUUAACUUAGUCAUGCAAGUAUUAUCAAUAUUGCACCACCUCCC
rnacentral:lncRNA from 1 species